AUUGAACGCUGGCGGCAGGCCUAACACAUGCAAGUCGAGCGAGCGGCGGCCGGGUGAGUAAUGUAUGGGGACUGCCCGAUAGAGGGGGAUAACUACUGGAAACGGUGGCUAAUACCGCAUACUAUCGGAUAACCCAUAUGGGAUUAGCUAGUAGGUGGGGUAAAGGCUCACCUAGGCGACGAUCUCUAGCUGGUCUGAGAGGAUAAUCAGCCACACUGGGACUGAGACAGGGCGCAGACCCCGAUGGAGGAAGCAGUGGCGAAUAGUGCACAAUGGACGAAAGCCGGAUGCAGCCAUGCCGCGUGUAUUAAGAAGGCCUUAGGGUUGUAAAGUAAUUUCAGCGGGGAGGCGUUACCCGCAGAAGAAGCACCGGCUAACUCCGUGCCAGCAGCCGCGGUAAUAC
rnacentral:rRNA from 1 species